CGGGCGGCGGCGGGGGCGCGGACGGCGCGGUGGAGGCGGCGCGCUGCCACUCGGCGGACGGCAGCGACGCGGAGGACGCGCUGGACGACAUCCCGCCCGACUCGGACGACGAGCCCGAGGACGCGCCCGCGCUGCCGCCGCCGCCGCAGGGCGCCGAGUACAUCGCGCUCGUGAAGGAGGCGGUGCAGGCGCUGGCGAGCCGCGCGAGCCGCGGGCGGGCCGCGCGCGCCGACUGAGUGUCGCUCACCCCGUGGCGCCUCACCGCGCGCACGCUCAACAUGUUCAACGUGUAGACUCGCUCCCGUCGCGUACCCGUUACGUUCCUGUCGCGUACUCGUCGCGUACCCGUCGCGUAACCGUUACGUACUCGUUGCGUACCAGCACUGUACCCGCCCCGUCGUGCACCCCUCACAUACCCGUCAUGGUCUCCGUGUGAGUGCUUCACAGGCACUAUCGUGUAACUCCGUGUAAUCGUUUUAUCAAAUCUACAAUCUACAUACGCCGAAUAAAUAAAGAGGGCGUAACAGAAAUGUCCAUCACGGGUUUUUCGCGUUAUCUGCACGUAAGUGGGACUUUGGGCAGUACGUCUGUCAAUAUAUAACGUAUAUGUUGGACAUUACUCACGAGUCUACGUGUGUUUAGAGACUUUCACGUGACAAAUUAAAUUUGUGACUAGAUGUUUUUGAUGUUACUACCGUGAUUAAAAGACUAUCCAAAGCUAAUUGUGAAAAAUACUACAAUUUUAUAAUUUAUAUUGCUCUGAACAAUAAUUUGUUAUGGCAAAACUAUUAUUACCCUUGCUUUUCUAAUAUUGGAACUCUGAAUUCACUGUUACGUUAUAUGCAUUACAUAAUAAUAUUCGGGUGUCACGCUAUCUGCUAUACAUAGCAAGACAAACGCGCACUUAUACAUAUAUACUAAUACAUCUCCAAAUGGAAACUGAUUGCUCAUAAUGAGUAAUGUAAAGUACGAAGUGUGGUACAUGGACUUUGAUGACAUACCGAGUCCAAUUUUAUAUCUCUUAGAGUUAAUCUGAAAAUUUAUGUACCUAUUUUUCAUUUUCUGUGAAGUGUGUGUUUAUUUUAUAUCUUAAUUGAUAUCAGUUUGGCCAUUCUGAAAAACAAACUCCUCCUGGAGUCUGUUUUUCAAAAUAAAGUGAAAGUAUAUCGAGGUUGCACGAACUUCAGUUUGUUAUUAUCUUCGUAUGUACGAGCAUUCGUGUAUUUUGCGGUAAAACUUAGUUAGUUACUCGCUAUUAACGGCUAGUGCAGCGAUUUUAUUGGUUAUUAAAUAUAUUUAUCACAAUUUUUUAUUGAAUUAAGUAAAUUUAAGUGCGUUGAGUGUUGUUUUAGAUGGCGCUUUAUGUGUUGCUUAAAUUGAUAUUGCGCCAAUUCUGUUGAACGUGUUUGAACGAAGGAAUUGUUUUUGUAUAGUUUAUGUAAAAUUUAAUUUUGUACAUAAUGAUGUACAAUUGGUGUAAAUGUAUGCUACAUUCCAUAUCCCACAUCACAAUAUGCAAUACGAGAGUUAUUUAGCCAUGACGAGACAAUGGAUGUACGUUAUGGCCAAAAUAGGCGAUGGAUUAUUAUUGGUUUCGUCUUACAUGUGUGUUUAUUGCGAAAUAAACGUAUUAUUUCAUGCCAAAAUUAUAGUACAUUAAUUUCGUUUAUAAAAUACUGAAAGUUCAUUUUCGCGUGCUUUGGCCACCUUCACCCACAAGGUGAAGCGUGUUUAAUUCGGCAUCAAGUAAUGCACAAUGCACACGAAAGUCAACUUUAAUGUACCUCACACUUGUAUAAUAUUAUAAAUAGGCAUACAGUUAAAAAAUAAAAUUAUGAGUAUUCGUCAUUAUUAUUUUAGAUAUAAAUAACUAUCUAAAAAAAUUAUAUGUUUAUUUUCGCAAUAACCAUUCUUAUUUUCCAUAUUUCGUACAGUCUUUUCUUUGUUUUACCCGUCAGAAACAGCUGAUAUAUAUAACUAUGAAUAGACUGUACUAAUUUUUAAAUUCUAUGUAUUUAAGUUCGGAAAUUUCGCAUUCAAUCAAAAUUUAACAUUAAAGUGUUUCGAUGUACCUAAUUUCAAUUUUACUCUUUUAAGACUGUUUUGGAUUUAAGUUUUAGGAUGUAUAUUAUGAGGAGAUCGUGUUUGUAGAAAUAGUUGGUAAAUUUUAUCAUUAACUUUUAUAUGCUAUAUCCUAAAAACAGUUGUAGUAUUUUCAAAAUAUUUUUUAGUUCCGAAUAACUUUUCGAAGAGAAACAUUAUCUUCUCGAUAAGUCCUGUGUAGGAAUCUCGUAGUUUUCAUAUAUAUUAUUUUAAAAUUAUUAAACUAGUUCAGUAAUUAUAAACACGUACACCGUAAUAACACGUGAGGAAGAGUGGUUUCGUUAUUUGGUUACUGAAGUUGGUAAAGUAUUGAUAGAUAAUAGAGGUUGCUCUAAAGCUAUUUGGUUUUCGCAAAUUGCUUCGUCAAAAUUGUGUUACGGCUGUGAAUGAUUUCCUAGUUUAAGUGUGUGUGUGUGACCUAAGUAGAAUGUAAAAUUGCCUGCUUAGAUAAUCCCAGUACUAAUGAAUGUAUGAUAAUUUUAUACCUAUCGUAAGUUUUACACCCGUCCAAACACCUUUAUUCAUUUAAACCAUCGCGAUUUUAACCUAGGCCAGUACCAACGUAUAGGGUAUAAAAUAAUAUGAUAAAAUUUCGACAUAAUUGUAAACUCGUAAAUUUGUUGUUAUCGAUGUGAAAAACAUUUUUAAGUAAAUAAAUAAUAAUUAAGUAAUUUAAUUAAGACGCUGGCAGUUCAUGGAGUAUUUUUUGUUUUUUUUUUAUUCAUUAUUCGAUGGUUGAAAAAUCGGUAGUAAAACCAAAAUAGAUAUAUGAUUUGUCUAAAUUUUACGUUUUAAAUUCGUAUCAAUAAUUAACAUGGUAUUUUUGUAUCGAUUUUAAAAAAUAUAUUGAUUAACGAGAUAAAGAAAAGCUGUCUACAGCGUGUCGCUUCUAUUAGAAACUUUUAGAAAAUUGCUUUACACAUUUUUGUACAUAGCUCAAUAUGAGUAUAAUAUAUUUUGUACAUCUAUGUUCGCAUUACAUCUACCGUCAUUUAUAUUAGUUAUGUGCGCUGUUCUUCUAUUAUUCUGAUUGCGAUCUUAUGAACGAUGCGUAUGGUAACAAUUACACUGCCGAGUUAUCUUACCGAAAUAUGUCUUUUUAUAAUGGCAACAGACAAACAAUUCGUAUCGUGCAUGCGUAAAUUGUUCGGUCUGUUACUUUAUAUCCCGCACCUAUGGAUGUCAACGUAUUCAUUAUCUUCGUAGAAAAUCAGGAUCGUUCUGUUAUAGUAAUAAAACUUAAAAUUAAAGGCGUCUUAUUUUAUCUAAAGUAAGGAAAGUACAGUACUAGAUGAUAUAAGGCUUGCGUUAACCGAAUCAAAUCGUUGGGUAGCGAUGUUUGUAUGAAAGUUACGGAGGCGCAAAUCUACUGUAAAAUGCGUUAGCGCAGAGUCUUGUCAUUUACAUAUAAAUAUAGCGGAUAGCAUUUUUAAAAAUCCAUAAAUAAUUAGGAAUCGUAUGAAGCAAUAUUAGUCGGUUUUAAAUGUUUAUCUAAACGUAAUAGCUAUUAAAUAAUAAGCAUUUGGAUGUUUUGGAUUGUUAGAGUCACUGGUCGAUUUUCUAAAAGGGUUAUGAUGUAAUGUGGUGCUAACAAUCAGAGUUGAGUGGAUGGUUAAUGAGACAAAAUGUAUAUUUAAUUUUGUCCUGAUUUUAGAGCUUAUUAAUAUAUAUCUAACAUUACUAUAGCUACACUGUAAUUAUCUUUAUUUUAAGAUUUAAUAUUAAUUUUCACAUAAAUUGUGCCGCAACAUAUAAGCUUUUCAUAGUAUUUGCGGAAUAUGACCUUGUAUAAUCGUUUGUGUAUUAUACUUAGUGAUUUGUAAUAAAAGUUCAAUUUAAU